CAAACUCGCGAGAGCUAGCAAAUCCCAUAAACCGUGGCUCAGUUCAGAUCGUAGGCUGCAACUCGCCUACGUGAAGUAGGAAUCGCUAGUAAUCGCAGGUCAGCAUACUGCGGUGAAUACGUUCCCGGGCCUUGUACACACCGCCCGUCACACCAUGGAAGUUGGCCAUGCCCGAAGUCGUUACUCCAACCCUUGUGGAGGAGGACGCCGAAGGUGGGGCUAAUGACUGGGGUGAAGUCGUAACAAGGUAGCCGUACCGGAAGGUGCGGCUGGAUCACCUCCUAA
rnacentral:rRNA from 1 species